rnacentral:rRNA from 1 species
GACGAACGCUGGCGGCGUGCCUAACACAUGCAAGUCGAGCGGGGGGAGUACUUCGGUACAAACCUAGCGGCGGACGGGUGAGUAACACGUGGGUAACCUGCCUCAAAGUGGGGGAUAGCCUUCCGAAAGGAAGAUUAAUACCGCAUAACCCAUAGCUUCCGCAUGGAAGCAAUGGUAAAGAUUUAUCGCUUUGAGAUGGACCCGCGGCGCAUUAGCUAGUUGGUGAGGUAACGGCCCACCAAGGCAACGAUGAGUAGCCGGCUUGAGAGAGUGAACGGCCACAUUGGGACUGAGACACGGCCCAAACUCCUACGGGAGGCAGCAGUGGGGAAUAUUGCACAAUGGGCGAAAGCCUGAUGCAGCGACGCCGCGUGAGUGAAGAAGUAUUUCGGUACGUAAAGCUCUAUCAGCAAGGAAGAAAAUGACGGUACUUGACUAAGAAGCCCCGGCUAACUACGUGCCAGCCGCCGCCGUAAUAC